rnacentral:rRNA from 1 species
GCGCGACGCUCUCCCCAAGGACGAAGCCAUGCAUGCCCGCUCACCCGGGACGCGGCGGACGGCUCAGGACGACGGUUGCACCCCCCGCGGCGGUCCCUGCUAGCCGGACACCGCUGGCAACCCGGCGCCAAGACGUGCGCGCAAGGGCGGGCGCCCGCGGGCGAGCAGCGUGACGCAGCGACGGCCCGCCCGGGCUUCCGGGGCAUCACCCGGUCGGCGCGGUCGCGGCGCGCCGAGGGCCCGACGCCUGGCGGAGAAUCAGG